CGCCAGACUCCUACGGGAGGCAGCAGUGGGGGAUAUUGCACAAUGGGGGGAACCCUGAUGCAGCGACGCCGCGUGGGUGAAGGAGCGUUUCGGCGCGUAAAGCCCUAUCGGCAGGGAAGAAGGAGGACGGUACCUGACUAAGAAGCCCCGGCUAACUACGUGCCAGCAGCCGCGGUAAUACGUAGGGGGCAAGCGUUAUCCGGAUUUACUGGGUGUAAAGGGGGCGCAGACGGCAGCGCAAGCCAGGAGUGAAAGCCCGGGGCCCAACCCCGGGACUGCUCUUGGAACUGUGUCCCUUGAGUGCGCGAAGGGUAGGCGGAAUGCGUGGUGUAGCGGUGAAAUGCAUAGAUAUCACGCAGAACUCCGAUCGCGAAGGCAGCCUACCGGCGCGCAACUGACGCUCAUGCACGAAAGCGUGGGUAUCGAACAGGAUUAGAUACCCGAGUAAC
rnacentral:rRNA from 1 species